rnacentral:lncRNA from 1 species
ACCUGAUGAUAUGGAUUAUAUGGAAAACCACAGGAUGGCUUCUUGUUGUUGCGCACCUGAUAAUCUAGAUUUGAUUGUAGCCCGCAGGGUGGCCUCCUGUUGUGAGCACUUGAUGAUCUAGAUUGGAUGGAGACCACCGGGUUGCCUCCUAUUGGCAUUUUUAAAAAAGAGAGAGAGACUGGAAAAAUAAUCAGAGGACCGGCAGUGUGAGGCUUAUAUCGGUCAGCCAGAAUAGGGGAUUGGCUCCCUGGUGCACAUGUGAGUGGAUGGGCCAUGUGGGAGGACGGCUCAUCGGGUUUAGGUGACNNN